GACGAACGCUGGCGGCGUGCUUAACACAUGCAAGUCGAACGGAAAGGCCCUGCUUGCAGGGUACUCGAGUGGCGAACGGGUGAGUAACACGUGGGUGAUCUGCCCUGCACUUCGGGAUAAGCCUGGGAAACUGGGUCUAAUACCGGAUAGGAGCCAUUUUUAGUGUGAUGGUUGGAAAGUUUUUUCGGUGUAGGAUGAGCUCGCGGCCUAUCAGCUUGUUGGUGGGGUAAUGGCCUACCAAGGCGGCGACGGGUAGCCGGCCUGAGAGGGUGGACGGCCACAUUGGGACUGAGAUACGGCCCAGACUCCUACGGGAGGCAGCAGUGGGGAAUAUUGCACAAUGGGCGCAAGCCUGAUGCAGCGACGCCGCGUGUGGGAUGACGGCCUUCGGGUUGUAAACUCCUUUCGCUAGGGACGAAGCUUUUUGUGACGGUACCUAGAUAAGAAGCACCGGCUAACUACGUG
rnacentral:rRNA from 1 species